ensembl:lncRNA
AUGCAAGGUCACCCGAAAAGAGAACUUAAGAAGGGGAAUUUUUUGGUGGUGCCUGUAGUCUGCCUGAAGCAGCAGGCAAAUUAUCUAUUCCUAAGGGCUAGAGGGAAGAUUUCUAGCAUUACAACCUUCAAAAGUUGCAAGGUGACUGAAACGCAGGUGGCCACGGAAGCAACCAACAUGGUAAUUCAAGGCAUGCAUCGCUAAAUUUUUGUUUAAAAUAAAAUCUAUGAACAUCAGGUUUGAUUCAUAUUUGUUUUUUGUUUUUAAAUUCCUUGUUGAUUGCAAAUUUGAAAAAGGUCAAAUAUAUUCCAAGUAAUGUUCUGGCUUACAGAUCAAUUGCAAUAUAGGAAAUACUUUUUAAAAAAUUGAUAUCCAUUAAAAUGUAUAUCUGAACCCUUUUUUUAAGUGAUAUACUGCUAUAGAAGGAAUUCAAAAAUGUGCACCUGUAAAGCAGCAAGUAAGUAGAAAUCGAUUUUAAUAUUUGUGAAAUGCUUAGGACUAACAAAUUGCUUUAUACAUUUUUUUAACAAAAUGUAUUUGUGUGUAAUAAAAUUUUUCUGUGAAAUAAACAAAUAAAACAAAAGUAAUGAGUAAUAGCUUUGUAUGAGCUAUGAAAUGAGCUGGAAGAUUUUGUCAUAUAUAGUGAAUAAAAUGUUAUGUUUUCUUGGGAGCAAAAUAACAAUGAAAAUCAAUUUUAACAAUAUUCUAGCCCCGUGAGCGGUGGAGGGCGCAGUGGAGGAAGAGGCCUCCAGGUUUCGCUGCCGUUGUUACACAUAUUGAAAUUAAAAUAUACCUCCAUAAAAUACAUAUAUAAAUACACAAAAAAGUGGAGUUUAAAAUUCACCAUUAAAACUGUCUGGGUAGGCCUGCCAGAAGAGAUAGGUCUUCACUUGUCUCUUAAAUUCCGACAGCUGAUUCAACUGUGAAAGCUCUACCGACAGGUCGUCCACAGUCAUGGAGUGGCCGAUGAAAAGGUCCUCUGGGUGGUGGUUGCCAGUCGGGUUUUGGCUAGUUGGAGUAACUGCCUUCCAGAGGACCUAAGUGUGGGGCAGAUAGUACAGGAAAAGGCAAUCCUUUAGGUGUUAUCAUGCACUUUCUUUGUACAGUAGUCUCACUUAUCCAACACUCUCUUAUCCAACGUUCUGGAUUAUCCAACGCAUUUUUGUAGUCAAUGUUUUCAAUAUAUCAUGAUAUUUUGGUGCUACAUUCGUAAAUACAGUAAGUACUACAUAGCAUUAAUGUGUAAUGAACUACUUUUUCUUUCAAAUUUGUUGUAUAACAUGAUGUUUUGGUGCUUAAUUUGUAAAAUCAUAACCUAUUUUGAUGUUUAUAGACUUUUUUCUUAAUCUCUCCUUAUUAUCCAACAUAUUCACUUAUCUAACAUUCUGCCGGCCCGUUUAUGUUGGAUAAGUGAGACUCUACUGUAUUUGCUUUAAGAUGGGCAUGGAUAUCACUGUAAAGAGUAUGCACUUACUGUUCUCCUUUAAUGUUGUGGCCAUAGCAAACAGCUCUUGUUUCAAAUCGGCCACAGAUGUCAGCUGCUCUUGCGGCUCUGUGGGGAGUAUUACAAAAUUUAUGUUACACUACAUAUAAGUAGCACAGAUAUCUAGGAAUUUGCAACAAUUGCUAAAUAUCAGCAGCACUUGCCAGUUCCUAUUGCUGCUGGCUGCUACUCUGCAGGCCCUGUGGAACUAUUGACAUAUAAUCAUUACACUAUAGGUAAGUACAGUAAAACCCUGCUAAGUUGAGCCCCACUCGUCCGAGCGUCCGUGUAGACUGAGCCAAAUUCCUCCCCCCUUCCCCUCACUCACCCCGCCAGAUCCCGGUGCUGCCGGAACCCAGCCGGGUGAGUGAGUGAGCGAAGGAUGGAGGGUGGGCUCGAUCUCUUGCUCCUCUGCCAGGCUGGGUGCCGGUGCUGCCGGCCCCAGUGUGGC